GAUGAACGCUGGCGGCGUGCCUAAUACAUGCAAGUCGAGCGAACGGACGAGAAGCUUGCUUCUCUGAUGUUAGCGGCGGACGGGUGAGUAACACGUGGAUAACCUACCUAUAAGACUGGGAUAACUUCGGGAAACCGUAGCUAAUACCGGAUAAUAUUUUGAACCGCAUUGUUCAAAAGUGAAAGACGGUCUUGCUGUCACUUCUAGAUGGAUCCGGGCUGCAUUAGCUAGUUGGUAAGGUAACGGCUUACCAAGGCAACGAUGCAUAGCCGACCUGAGAGGGGGAUCGGCGACACGGGAACGGAGACACGGUCCAGACUACUACGGGAGGCAGCAGUAGGGAAUCUUCCGCAAUGGGCGAAAGCCUGACGGAGCAACGCCGCGUGAGUGAUGAAGGUCUUCGGAUCGUAAAACUCUGUUAUUAGGGAAGAACAUAUGUGUAAGUAACUGUGCACAUCUUGACGGUACCUAAUCAGAAAGCAACGGCUAACUACGUG
rnacentral:rRNA from 1 species